rnacentral:misc_RNA from 1 species
GCCAGAAGUAUCACAUUUAGGGUGGGGAAGGUGGUAUACACUGAGAGAGCUCGAGGCUGCCACUAAUUGCUUGUCUGAUGAGAAUGUAAUUGGAGAAGGUGGGUAUGGAAUUGUGUAUCAAGGUGUAUUGACUGAUGGCACCAGAGUAGCUGUGAAAAAUCUCUUGAAUAACAGGGGUCAAGCAGAGAAGGAGUUUAAAGUGGAGGUAGAAGCUAUUGGGCGUGUAAGACACAAGAAUCUCGUGAGGCUGCUUGGCUACUGUGUUGAAGGAGCUUACAGAAUGCUUGUCUAUGAGUAUGUAGAUAAUGGAACUUUGGAGCAAUGGCUUCACGGAGAUGUUGGGGAUGUCAGUCCUUUAACAUGGGAUAUUAGAAUGACUAUAAUAGUGGGCACAGCAAAAGCUUUAGCAUAUCUUCAUGAGGGUCUGGAACCUAAAGUGGUUCAUCGAGAUGUAAAAUCCAGCAACGUACUCCUCGAUCGCCAAUGGCAUCCAAAGCUGUCGGAUUUUGGGCUUGCUAAACUCCUCAAUGCAGAGAGGAGCUAUGUGACAACUCGUGUAAUGGGAACAUUUGGUUAUGUUGCA